ACGCGGAUAGCUCAGUCGGUAGAGCGGCGGUCUCCAAAACCGCAGGCCGGAAGUUCGAACCUUCCUCCGCGUGCGA
rnacentral:tRNA from 1 species